rnacentral:rRNA from 1 species
GUAGCGAAAUAAUUUGUUUUUUAAUUGGAAACGAGUAUGAAAGGUAAAAUAAAUAUUUUUAUGUUUUUUGAAAUAAAUUAAAUUUUAGUUUAAGUAAAAAUACUUAAAUAAAUAAAAGGGACGAUAAGACCCUAAAAGCUUUAUUUUUUGUUUAGAAUUAAAGUAAAGAUUAUAUGGUAAUAAAUUAUGAAAUUAAUUGGGGUAAUUAUUUUAAUUAAAUUAAAAUAAUAAAAGCUUAAUAAAAGUUUAUGUGGUCUUUUUUAUAAGAAUGAGUAGUGUUAGUUACUUUAGGGAUAACAGCGUAAUAUAUUCAGAAAGGUCUUAUUAAUGAAUGUGAUUGCGACCUCGAUGUUGAAUUAUAAUAUCUUUAUGGGGCAUAAUAUAUAAAAGAAAGUUUGUUCAACUUUUAAAAUUUU